CAGGGCAUUUUACAAAGGCUUGAAGACAUUUCACCAGCUGAGAAUGAAGAUGAGCUGGAAGUUGGAGUUUAUUAUUCUUGAUGGAUGCGGAGUUUUGCAUUGACCAUGCACCACUGCAGUGGAGAAGAUGGUAGGAGAGAAGCUGGAGAUUGCCGCAGUGGGGAGGGCACCCAAGCUUUCAGGACCCAAGAAUGCACAACAGGCAGUCAGAUGAACUACACGCCAUCACACUCUACUUGACAAGCAGAAUCCAUCCCUAAAAUUAAAACAUUCCUGACCUAUCUGCGAUGACAAGGCAAGCGAGCUUCACAGCGCUGCGGCCCAUGAAGGGAGCUGACACAUUUGUUUUUAAUUUCAAAAGAGUAGAAAGUGAAGAUCUGACCCCGUCAAUCAGGCCUCGUGACAAGUUUAAUCAUUGCUGCCCCACAAAAAUCACGGCUAA